rnacentral:rRNA from 1 species
AUAGACCCGAAACCCGGUGAUCUAGCCAUGGGCAGGUUGAAGGUUGGGUAACACUAACUGGAGGACCGAACCGACUAAUGUUGAAAAAUUAGCGGAUGACUUGUGGCUGGGGGGGAAAGGCCAAUCAAACCGGGAGAUAGCUGGUUCUCCCCGAAAGCUAUUUAGGUAGCGCCUCGUGAAUUCAUCUCCGGGGGUAGAGCACUGUUUCGGCAAGGGGGUCAUCCCGACUUACCAACCCGAUGCAAACUGCGAAUACCGGAGAAUGUUAUCACGGGAGACACACGGCGGGUGCUAACGUCCGUCGUGAAGAGGGAAACAACCCAGACCGCCAGCUAAGGUCCCAAAGUCAUGGUUAAGUGGGAAACGAUGUGGGAAGGCCCAGACAGCCAGGAUGUUGGCUUAGAAGCAGCCAUCAUUUAAAGAAAGCGUAAUAGCUCACUGGUCGAGUCGGCCUGCGCGGAAGAUGUAACGGGGCUAAACCAUGCACCGAAGCUGCGGCAGCGACGCUUAUGC